GUUUUGUUCAUCUUUGGUUUUGGUAUUUUGUUUAGAUCACUGUGGUUUUAGGUUUAUCUUUUAGUUGGGUCCUGUUCACUAUGCUUUUGUCUGAGUGCAUGCUCUUGUCUGGUGUUCAGGGCCUUGAAUGAUGCAAUGCACUA